rnacentral:lncRNA from 1 species
UUUUUUUUGUGCUGGUCAUUAAACUUUUGGCUUUAAGUUAUCCCAAAAACCACUAAUUCUAUCAAGUUGUAAAUGUUUAAAUAUAAAGUUGACACUUCCGGUAAAAAUAUGACGUAAAUUUCAAAGAUGAGUCCUCAAUCCAUUUCUUCGAUGUAGAGUUUUGGAUAGAUUGAUUAAAACAAAAUAAAAUCACUUUAGUACUAAAACAUUUUUAAAAUUACUACUAUUUGGUCAAGAAUACAUGUUUAUUCACAGUCACCACCACAUGCACACAAGGCAGUGCACGGGAAACCCGAUUUACCACAUUAAAAAUGACCGCGGCAUCCUU